GUGGCCAUGGCCGUAAAUGGAUAACGGUACUGCUUGUGACGCAGUGGAUGUGGGAUCGUACCCCACUGGCCACACCA
rnacentral:tRNA from 1 species